rnacentral:rRNA from 1 species
GAUGAACGCUGGCGGCGUGCCUAAUACAUGCAAGUCGAACGCUGAAGGAGGAGCUUGCUUCUCCGGACGAGUUGCGAACGGGUGAGUAACGCGUAGGUAACCUGUCCCUUAGCGGGGGAGAACAAUUGGAAACGAUAGCUAAUACCGCAUAACAUUUGAUAACGCAUGAUAUCCGCUAGUAAGGUGCAAUUUUAUCACUACUAGUUGGACCUGCGUUGUCAUAGUUAGUUGGUGAGGUAACGGCUCACCAAGGCGACGAAACAUAGCCGCCCUGGGGGGGGGGUCGGCCAAACUGGGACUGAGACACGGCCCAGGCUCCUACGGGGGGGAGCAGUAGGGGAACUUCGGGAAUGGGGGGAAGUCUGGCCGAGCCACGCCGCGUGAGUGGAGGAAGUUCUCGGGUCGUAAAGCUCUGUUGUAAAGGGAGGACGAGUGUGGGAGUGGAAAGUUCACGCUGUGACGGUAUCUUAUCAGAAAGCGACGGCUAACUACGUG